CUCCAAUGGAUCCUCCUGGUGACUUCAUGCCUCUGUUGCUCUGUGUUCCUGGUGCUCCCAUCCACAUCUCUUUAAGAUCUGUUUUUAGUGGUCCAAUUAACACUGCUGCGGGGAGCCACAUCACAUCAGUGUAAGAACAAUUUUUCUCUUCCUGCUGGUCUCUGCAACCUCAGAUUGACAACUGAUUGCUGCUCACCCAGGGCUGAGGAUCACAGUAUGAGGGAGCCCUAUGGACUUUGACAUGGCCAGCAGCUGAUAAC